rnacentral:rRNA from 1 species
UACGAACCGUCCAAACGUUAUUCGGAAUCAUUGGGCUUAAAGGGUAUGUAGGCGGCGCUGUUAGUCAGGUGUGAAAUCCCUCGGCUCAACCGAGGAAUUGCGCCCGAAACUGCAGUGCUCGAGGGAGACAGAGGUAAGCGGAACUGAUGGUGGAGCGGUGAAAUGCGUUGAUAUCAUCAGGAACACCGGUGGCGAAAGCGGCUUACUGGGUCUCUUCUGACGCUGAGAUACGAAAGCUAGGGGAGCGAAGGG